rnacentral:misc_RNA from 1 species
AGCAAGUGGCGCACUGUUGUGUGUUCUUGUUGUGGAAUGUUGGCUGUGGUCACCGUUUGUGGUGGGGCACGUUGUUGGGGUUCUGGGGUAUCACGCCGGCUGGUGUGGUUUCCUGGAUGUGCGAACGCCGUGGCUGCAUGCGUUGUUGUGUGGUGGGUGUCUCGUGUGGUGGUUGAGAACUGCAUAGUGGAUGCGAGCAUUUUUGUUUUGUGAUUUUGUUGUUUGUUGUGUGACAAGCUACUA